rnacentral:misc_RNA from 1 species
UGAAAUGGCAUUGGAGUAUGCUACGCAAAGUGGAGUGAGUGAGGAACCUAGAGAAGAUAUAUAUAUACAAACGCUUGAAUCUGAAAACAAAUUCAUCGACUUCCACAGUCCCAUCUUUGUUUUCUUUUCAGAUUAAUCUCUCAGGAAUUGAUGGAUAUUCUUUGAUUACCUUUUAUACUUGUCGUAAUCAAUAUAGAUAGAAGGUGGUUGUGACACGGGUCAUUUCAUUAUUUAACUUGUUUCUGAUAAAGGAAAUUAGAUGUCAAUCGUGAUUGUAUGAAUGAUUUUUUUUCUAGCACUGAUGCUGUAUUGUAAACCAUAUAGAAGAAACUGUAUCUAUGCAGAGCAGCUUCUUGAUUACGCC